AAACUGUACACAGCAAUAAUGUUCAGCAAAGUAAGAUCUACAAAUAAGUCAACAUGACCAAAAUGGUCAGUUGACCGCUUUAGGAGUUAUUGCCCUUUAUAGUAAAUUUUUAACCAUUUUUCGUAAAUCUUAGUAAUCUUUUAGAAAAAUCUUCUCUGAAACUACUGGGCCAAAUUUAACCAAACUUAGCAAUAAUCAUCAUUGGGGUAUCUUGUUAAAAAAAUGUGUCCGGUGACCCGCCCAACCAACCAAGAUGGCCGCCAUGGCUAAAAAUAGAACAUAGGGGUAAAAUGCAGUUUUUGGCUUAUAACUCAAAAACCAAAGCAUUUAGAGCAAAUCUGACUUGGGGGUAAAAUUGUUCAUCAGGUCAAGAUCUAUCUGCCCUGAAAUUUUCAGAUGAAUCGGACAUUCCGUUGUUUGGUUGCUGCCCCUGAAAUGAUAAUUUUAAGGAAAUUUUGCUGUUUUUUGGUUAUUAUUUUGAAUAUUAUUAUAGAUAGAGAUAAACUGUAAACAGCAAUAAUGUUCAGAAAAGUAAGAUCUACAAAUAAGUCAACAUGACCAAAAUGGUCAGUUGACUGCUUUAGGAGUUAUUGCCCUUUAUAGUAAAUGUUUAACCAUUUUUCGUAAAUCUUAGUAAUCUUUUAGAAAAAUCUUCUCCUCUGAAACUACUGGGCCAAAUUUAACCAAACUUGGCCAUAAUCAUCACUAGGGUAUCUAGUUAAAAAAAUGUGUCCGGUAACUCGGCCAAGUAAGAUCUACAAACACAUCACCAUCACCAAAACAUGAUUGAUUGAUUGAUUGAUUGUUGGUUGCUUAACGUCCAGUGGCAAAUAUUUCAUGCAUAUUCAGGACGAGAACAAGUUCACAAUAAAUACAAUAGGUAGGUUGUUGUAAUAGAGGCCAUCUAGGAUGAUGGUCGGGGAAAUUUGGACUGCCACUGGAAAAUGAGGGUAUAUUGGAUAGGGACAGAAAUUUUGCCUUGCAACAGGCCACCUACGGACCCCUCAAAGAGUUGUUGCAAGGGUUCUUAACGUGCAAAGAGCGUGGCACUCUCUUUACACGAGGCAUCGGAUUUAACGUCCCCU
rnacentral:lncRNA from 1 species